rnacentral:rRNA from 1 species
UACGUAGGUGGCGAGCGUUGUCCGGAUUUAUUGGGCGUAAAGAGCUCGUAGGCGGCUUGUCGCGUCGUCCGUGAAAACCCACAGCUCAACUGUGGGCUUGCGGUCGAUACGGGCAGGCUAGAGUUCGGUAGGGGAGACUGGAAUUCCUGGUGUAGCGGUGAAAUGCGCAGAUAUCAGGAGGAACACCGGUGGCGAAGGCGGGUCUCUGGGCCGAUACUGACGCUGAGGAGCGAAAGCGUGGGGAGCGAACAGG